UGGGGAAUAUUGCACAAUGGGGGAAACCCUGAUGCAGCGACGCCGCGUGAAGGAAGAAGUAUUUCGGUAUGUAAACUUCUAUCAGCAGGGAAGAAAAUGACGGUACCUGACUAAGAAGCCCCGGCUAACUACGUGCCAGCAGCCGCGGUAAUACGUAGGGGGCAAGCGUUAUCCGGAUUUACUGGGUGUAAAGGGAGCGUAGACGGCAUGGCAAGUCUGAUGUGAAAACUUGGGGCUCAACCCCAAGACUGCAUUGGAAACUGUUAAGCUAGAGUGCAGGAGAGGUAAGCGGAAUUCCUAGUGUAGCGGUGAAAUGCGUAGAUAUUAGGAGGAACACCAGUGGCGAAGGCGGCUUACUGGACUGUAACUGACGUUGAGGCUCGAAAGCGUGGGGAGCAAACAGGAUUAGAUACCC
rnacentral:rRNA from 1 species